rnacentral:rRNA from 1 species
AAUCAAGCGUUUAAGGGCGUGUAGUGGAUGCCUUGGCACUGAAAGCCGAUGAAGGACGUGAUAUACUGCGAUAAGUUUCGGGGAGCUGUAUGUAAGCUUUGAUCCGAAAAUUUCCGAAUGGGGAAACCCACCACUUUAUGUGGUACUUUAAACUGAAUACAUAGGUUUAAAGAGACAACCUGGAGAACUGAAACAUCUAAGUAACCAGAGGAAAAGAAAUCAAUUGAGAUUCCGUUAGUAGUGGCGAGCGAACGCGGAGUAGGCCAGUAGUUUUGUUAGAAAAAUUUGAAUAGUUUGGAAAUGCUAACCAUAGAGGGUGAUAGUCCCGUAUGAGUAAUGUCUAACAAAAUUCUUGAGUAAAGCGGGACACGAGAAAUCCUGCUCGAAUAUAGGGGGACCACCCUCUAAGCCUAAAUACUCUUCAGUGACCGAUAGUGAACUAGUACCGUGAGGGAAAGGUGAAAAGAACCCCUAUUAGGGGAGUGAAAUAGAACCUGAAACUGCAUGCCUACAAUCAGUCCGAGCCCUUUUUAGGGUGAGGGCGUACCUUUUGUAUAAUGGGUCAGUGACUUAAUUUAUUAAGCAAGCUUAAGCCAUCUAGGUGUAGGCGCAGCGAAAGCAAGUCUUAAUAGGGCGAUUAGUUUAAUGAAUUAGACCCGAAAACGAAUGAGCUUACCAUGAGCAGGUUGAAAGUUGGGUAACACCAACCGGAGGACCGAACCAGUUGACGUUGAAAAGUCUUUGGAUGACUUGUGGUAAGGGGUGAAAGGCCAACCAAAUUCGUAGAUAGCUGGUUUUCCGCGAAAACUAUUUAGGUAGUGCGUCGAAUAAAUAGAUGUUUAGAGGUAGAGCACUAAAUGGGCUAGGGGGAAGAGAUUCUUACCAAACCUAAUAAAACUCCGAAUGCUAGACAUUGUUCUUCGGCAGACAGACUGUGGGUGCUAAGGUCCAUGGUCGAGAGGGAAAGAGCCCAGACCACCAGAUAAGGUCCCAAAAUCAUGAUUAAGUGUGAAAGGAUGUGGAAAUUCCUUAACAGCCGGGAGGUUGGCUUAGAAGCAGCCAUCCUUUAAAGAUAGCGUAACAGCUCACCGGUCUAAUAGAGUUUCUGCGCCGAAGAUGUAACGGGGCUAAAAUCAUGUACCGAAUCUGUGGCUUUGCAAAGUUUUCGAACUUUGUAAGGGGUAGCGGAACGUUCUGUAAGCCUGCGAAGGGAUACCCGUGAGGGAUCCUGGAGGUAUCAGAAGUGCGAAUGCUGACAUAAGUAACGAUAAACGAAGUGAAAAACUUCGUCGCCGAAAAUCUAAGGGUUUCUAUGCAAGGUUAAUCCGCGUAGAGUUAGUCGGCACCUAAGGCGAGGGCGAAAGCCGUAGUCGAUGGAAACAAGGUUAAUAUUCCUUGACCUGAUGGUAGUGACGGAUUUCGUAAGUUGUGAGUUCUUAAUGGAUUGAACUUGCCGCGAAGAGGUCCCAAGAAAUAGCUCCAUCAUGAAGACCGUACCCGAAACCGACACAGGUAGAUUAAUAGAGUAUAUUUAGGCGCUUGAGAGAAUGAUGUUGAA